rnacentral:rRNA from 1 species
AGCGAACGCUGGCGGCAGGCUUAACACAUGCAAGUCGAGCGGGCCUUUCGGGGUCAGCGGCGGACGGGUGAGUAACGCGUGGAAACGUGCCCUCUGGUUCGGAAUAACUCAGGGAAACUUGAGCUAAUACCGGAUACGCCCUUUUGGGGAAAGGCUUGCUGCCGGAGGAUCGGCCCGCGUCUGAUUAGCUAGUUGGUGAGGUAACGGCUCACCAAGGCGACGAUCAGUAGCUGGUCUGAGAGGAUGAUCAGCCACACUGGGACUGAGACACGGCCCAGACUCCUACGGGAGGCAGCAGUGGGGAAUAUUGGACAAUGGGCGCAAGCCUGAUCCAGCCAUGCCGCGUGAGUGAUGAAGGCCUUAGGGUUGUAAAGCUCUUUUAUCCGGGACGAUAAUGACGGUACCGGAGGAAUAAGCCCCGGCUAACUUCGUG